GGAGACCCCCAAGUCCUGCGGGCGCGGAAUAUCCUGGAACCUUCUUUUAUUUGUCAGCAACCAAGGUGUUUGCAGGAAGUUGGGAGAGAACAGGUCUGUGUUGAUCCGGGUCCAUUGCGGGGUAGGGCCUCUGAACGUCUGUGUGUUAUAAACUCCAUCUGAAGUCAAGGUCUUUCUUGCCCUUUAACUGUGGGUUGGGUAGGAUAGAAGAGGAUGCUGACAUUUUCUAGUUGUCCUGCCCUGACUCCUGGCUUUGAUUUUCUAAGCUCCUUAAAUUGGGCUUUGGGGGCCAGGCAAGAAUGAUCUCCUCCCCACUGUUUCUGAUUGGUGGCUGAUGGUACUCUUAGAUUCUUUCUUGGCCACCCCAUUUGUGUGGAGGAAGCCUAGGGAGAGGCCUGUAACUUCCUGCUUCCUGUCUCCUCCCAGCAGGCUUGGAAGCCAGGGUGGAGGGGCCUCCCACAACAGGCCAGAAGAGAAGAUGCAGCAGUCCUGGCCAAUCCUCAGUGUCUCCAUUUUGCUUUGCCCACUGCCCCCCACCAGGACCCCUACGGGGCCCUCUUCCCUGCUCCUCCAGGCUCCUGGGG
rnacentral:sRNA from 1 species